GAUCUACUCCCUCCGUUCGGAAUUACUUGUCACAAAAAUGGAUGUAUCUAUAACUAAAAUACAUGUAGAUACAUUCAUUUCUUGGACGAGUAAUUCUGAACGGAGGGAGUAGUAG
rnacentral:pre_miRNA from 1 species